GCUGAAACCAUUAGGGCAAGGACUCCAGGAGGAAAAGAUUCCACAGGAACAGCAUUGCCAAUGUGUUGAAUACUGUCAAGAGUCCGUGGAGACUAAACACAGAGAAAUUCCUGUUGGCGUUGGCAACUCUGCAGUAGUUGGGACCUUGAAAAGAAUAGAGUCGAUGGAAUGGGGAGAAAGUCAAAUAUGUGUAGUUUGUUGGAUGGAUUGGAGAGACGGAUUGGAGCAACUAAUAAAGCAACUAAAUAAAGAACGUUUGCUGGGAAGAGGAGUAGAAAAAUAGGACAGUAACUAGAGGAAAUGAGGGGUUAGCGAGAGAUUUCAAAAUGGAAAUAGUAGAGACUGUCUGCAUGAUGAUGGAGUUGUUCUGGUACAGAGGAAGAGACUGAUGACGGACAGAUGAAGAGACUGAGGAGCUCACCUGUGACCACCCAGCUCACCUGUGACCAGCCAGCUCGAGACAACAGACCAGCCACCAUGCUGUGUCCACCGAGUGAGCAGACCUACCUGCUGUGUCCAUCAAUCACUGUGCCGACAGAGCAGUCUAGCGACUAUUGUAAAAGGGACAUUUCAAUCACAUAUGAAACAUCCUCUUUGUGGGUAUAUAACCUCUCCGUACACCCCACUUCUUUGGUGCUCUUCCCUCCUUGGGGAAGAAAGGCCCUGGACUACAUGGUCCUCACAUUUUAGCUCAGAAAAAACUCACCCAAAUUUUCAUAUAUAGAUUGGUUAUGGAUUAUCUGCAUCAACAUUUCUUGGCAUAGUUGCAACAGGAUUUCAGAGAAACCUACCAGAGACUACCUGGAAUCUACAAUGAACUGGCAUUCAGUACCAGUAGGGGCCCAUUGAACACCCCAGAUCACUGCAUUCUUCAGGUGGCCCUGAUGGGUCUUACUUAAAUGAUAAGCAAGGAUGUUAUCAAGCUGGAGAUGCUGUCCAACCUCAAGAAUGCCCGCUACUUUCUAUUAACUCUGCUAACCCAGUGAAAAGAUUUCCUUCUAUAGGCUCAAGAAAUCACUACAGAAUAAAAAUAUCUAUAUAUAAAGGUGGCAAAAAAAGAGGAAAACAAUACCUUUGGAAACCUUCUCCCACAGUGACUGAGAUAGCUUAUACUUGUUAUGCUGUAUGAUCAAAAAUAAUCUAGAGAAACUAUUUCAUGAGUCACAAGACCACUUUCCCCUCCCUAAGGGACCCUUUGAGGUAUGACAAUUGGACUUCGUCCAAACGCCACCAUCUCAAGGAUAAAUAUAUCUUGUAAUGAUCCAUAUGUUCUCACAUUGUUUUGAGGCCUUUACUUGCAGAAGAGCAAUGGCUUUAGGUAAUUAUUAUUGAAAAAGAUAAUUUCUGCUUGAGGAAUUCCUACCGAGUUACACAGUGACCGGGGAACUCAUUUCGCCAGACGACUAAUUAAAUCUAUCUGUAAUAUUUGGCCAAUAACGCAGCAUUUCCACUGCGCUUACCAUCUUCUCUCCUCAGGAUUGGCGGAGGGAACUAAUGACACAGCCAAAACUUAAUUGACAAAGCUUUCAGAAGCAUUUACUCUCUCACGGCCAAAAACUCUUGCGCUAGUGCUCCUUAAUCUUAGAUCUACACUUUUUAUAAACAUCAGCUGUUUCCUUUUGAAAUAAUAAUAAAACAGCCUAUGCAAUUAGAUGAAGAAACAUAUGAACCAACUUUGCUUAAGGGAUAUAUUACAUUGUUGUCAGGGUCUUAUUGAGGUGGUUAAAAGAAAUGAAAGAUUCGUAGCUGAUUCUUUCACAGAGAACUCCCAGAAUUUAAGGAUCAUGGACUGUAAUCUGGAGAAUUUCUUUAUUGAGAGAGACAUCAAAUAAAAGACUUUUUGCAGCCUUGUUGGAAAGGACCACACCAGGAUGAGAAGAAAACAGCAUCUGUUGUAGACAGCUGUCCCAAGACUCUGGACCAGACCUGUAUCCCUGACUAUAUAUCUGCUCAUUUAAACCUUUGUUAUGCUUAAACUAUAUACCUAUGUUAUAAUUUGUUUGGAAUACUAUCAUACUUAAAGAAAGUGAUUGAUUUUGAACAGACUGGUCUUGAAGGCCAGGCAUUUAUCAAGUGGCUCCUAAUGGAACUCAGUGGUUAUAUGGAACAAACCUCUGGCCUUGGCUACUGUCUGGAUGGCUAAGACACUGCACCCUGAGUUUCCUUUAAAAGCAGAGAAGGAGUCAGGCUGAGUUAAAACCUGUUGCCCAUCUCCCUCUCUUUAAGGACAGAUGGGCUCAUUCAGCGUCCACUGGUAUGGCCACCAAGUGGCUAUGUUUGCUCCUUCUUUGGGGCUAAAAGAUGUAAUUACCACAUGAAAGCCCUGACUAAAUUUACUCAACAAGCAGGAAUAACCUUAUUAAAUACUGAAAUGUCUUUAAUGAGAAGGGCUGUCCUUCAAAACGGAAUGGCUUUAGAUGUUCUUACUGCAUCCCAAGGUGGUACAUAGACAAUCUUUCAGACUGAAUGCUGUGCUUUUAUGCGUGAUGAAUCUUCCAAUGUGUCAUCUCUGCUAAAGCACAUGAAGAAGCAGGAAGAUGCCUUAAGCCAUCCUAUACCCAGUGUCACUUGUUUGUUUGGCUCCCUUCCAGUAUCGGUUUCCUUUAUUCAAACUGGAUUGCAGUUCCUAUUUCUAUUACUUCCUGGAAUUCUUGUACUAGUCAUAAUAUUCAAACUAAUUGUUGUUUUCUUUACUCAGUGUUGUAAGAAUAGCAUACAAAAUAGAGUAAUGAUUGCUUGACGGCUUGAGAUGGUUGAUCUGUCUUAUAACCCUGGAUUUCCUUUUCUGAUAAGGACUAUGCCUUAGAACUCAUUUUAAACUAAUGUUUUCAAAUAUGUUGAAAUAUUAUUAUUGUUACUGUACUUGUUCUAUGAUCAUAUGCAAUGUAAACGUGAAGAGUCAUAGAAAAGCACGUAUACAAUGUUUGUGCAACAAUCUAAAAUUAAUUGACAAUUACAUAACGUAUGAAAUUUUUCCUCUGUUAAUAUAUAUACUUCUAUGCUUGUCCACUAUAUCCCCCCAAUGUGGACGACUACGCAAAUAAAUGAGAUAAAAGCCCAGCACCGAGGGACAUGAUGGACCCAGGGUGGGCAGAAACCACCCUGGCACCGAGGGACAAUGUUUUGAUCAUCAAUGCUUUCUAUCGAAAGAUCAUAGAUCAAAAAGGGAAAAUGACAAAUAGAAAUGGCAAGCAGUAGGAUAUAUUGGAGUAGAUGAGGAAGCCAUUUGGUGUAAACCUAAUUCAGCCUGACUUUGUUUUGUCCAAAAGGGCCUGACAUGGCCAUUGAGCAUGCAUUGUAUAUCAGUCUCAAGCAAGAUAAAGGUUUCAUUUUCCCCCACACUGGGAUUUCCUUAAGGAUAAGCAUCUCUCCGUAGGCUAGGAACUGAUUGCUGUGCUCACCUGUGACCACCCAGCUCGAGACAGCAGACCUGCCACCCUGCUUCGUCCGUCCAUCCCUGUGCCGACAGAGCAGUCUCGUAACUACUGUAAAAGGGACAUUUCAGUCAUAAGUGAUACGUGCUCUUUGAGGGUAUAUAACCACUCUGUGCAUCCCACUUCUUUGUGCUCUCCAUUCCUUGGGGAAGGAAGGCCCUGGCCUAGGCUAGUCCUCAGAUCUGGCUGAUAACAAACUCACCCCAAUUUUCAUUUAUAGACUGGUAAUGGAUUAUGUGCAUCGAUAACCCUAUAAAAUGCCAAAUUGCUUCAGCUUUAUAUGUUGUAUCUGCACAUUUUUGCCUGGAAUAUUAUACAGGCUGUGAUUUCAGUAUACGUAUGUAUGUGUAUGUUUGUACACAAGAAAACAAAGUGUUUUUUUCAUGAAUAAUAAAUCAGUAGAGAAUGC
rnacentral:lncRNA from 1 species